GGGGGUAUAGCUCAGUGGUAGAGCGCGUGCUUCGCAUGUACGAGGCCCCGGGUUCAAAUCCCGGUACCUCCA
rnacentral:tRNA from 1 species